AUGCGCGUGCCCACGGCCGCACCCUCGGACACCUCCACCGGGAUCUGGGCCCGGGGGAAGCGCGGUGCGUGGUCGUUGACGUCCCUCACCUCCACCUCCACGUGCACCAGCCGGAACUGCUCCUGCGAGAAGCUGACCACAUCGAAGGCCAGCACGCACUGCGGGGCCUGGCCACACAGCCGCUCGCGGUCCAGGCCGGCGUCCCCGACGGUCAGCUGCCCGUCGCCUUCGCGCACCCGGAGCAGAGAGCUGUUGAAUUGCUUCAUCAGGCGGAAGCUUGUGUCACCCGAUACUUUCAUAUGCAGGUCCUCUGCCAGGGUCCCGAUGACCGUGCCGGGGGCAUCCUCCUCGAAGGUGCUGUAUCUGACUGUUUUGCUCUGGGCCACUGAGAGCACCCAGCAGAGGCUGAAGAGCUGCAAGGGGAAAAGGCAGGGGCUGCCCCAGCGCCUCACAAGACUCAUGCCUCCAGCCUUAAUUGCGAUCCGAAAGGCUAAGGAAGAGAGUCUUCUCUGGUUUCCAGGGCCACUCUGGGAAGCAACACUCGUCCGGUUCCAGAAGAACAAAAUCACAGCGUGACAUUGAAUCCUGGCAGGAACGUGGGGGGAACUUAACCAUCUGCCUAGAAAAGUGUGGAGCUUCGGCACUGCCAAAAUCUGGGCUGGGCGAAUCCUGAGGCUGGCCAGGCGCUGCGCUGCCCCACAGAUAGCCCCUUCCCAUCCCUGAAGGCCAGGGAGAUGGAGCUUGGAUCUGGAAUAAGAUGGAUUCUUAAUGAUGCUUACUGAAGGGCUUUAUUGAGCAGGCUAUGCAAAUACACACGAAGAAGGAAAGGUAAAAAACAGAAGCCACACACUGGAAGAAAUUUUGCUUUUUAGGCGAUAGGUUUGGUAAGCAGAUUGCAUUCAGUAAACAUUCUUCAGAAUCCCGAAUUUUGGUCCUGCUGUCAGCGUCCUAUCCAUAUUUUCUUUUCUCUCAAAGUCAAGGGAGUGUGUUUUGGGGGUCUUUUCAGAAGAGGGUCAGGAGUUUUCCCUGGAGUAGGGAGACCAAGUCGGGAGCUGGGUGGUGGGGAUGAGAGAGGUGCUUGGAACUGUCAGCAGAACAUGCAGCCCCAGCCAUCCAUAAAUAAAAGCUGUUAUGAGACUGGGGAAGGGGAUGGUGACUGGAGGCUUCCUCAGAGCGGUGUGUCUCUGGGUUCCCUUCUCCACCUCUUCCACCUUGUAGCCUUGGGAACGCUAAAAGCAAUAAGGCCAGGCAUCUGCAGCCGCGCGGGGACGUGCAAGGAGGAGCGCCCCCUACAGGAACCCAAACCGCAGCCCUUUCUUCCGCUUUCUUCCACCUCCCAAGUGCGAUUUAGUGUCUUGCCCUCCCCCUGUCCCCUCCAAGAGAUAUUCCUUGGGGAACACACGCAGCCGAAGGAACUUUCUAUUUCCUUCCGAGCCCCGCAACACUCCCACCGCAGCCUGGGGCUGGCUGGUGACCUUUAGCGCCCCUAGGCUAACGUCAUCUUUCCUCACCCCUCUUCCCCCGGAGACCCAGACGGGAACAGGUUCAGAACUUGGCUGGUGGACAGCGGCCUCGGCGCUUCCGCUGGCGUAACUAGGGAAGGUCAGGCCAGGGUGGCGCGGCUGCUGCUGGGCGGAGGACUCGGAAGGUGGGGAAAGUGGUAGGCAAUGGGGUUGGAGUCCCAGAGGAAGGGAUUUCAGCGAUUCCCGCGAGCACAGCCCGGCCGCGAGUGGCUGGGACCCGGACCUCACGCCAGCGCCCCCUGCGCCCCCGCACCCGGCAGUUCUGGGCUGGACUCGGGAUCCCCGCCACGCGCUAAAUUUGGGUUUUUUGCUUGGCCAGAGAUUCGGAACUACUUGCAAUUUCUACUCAAAGCGCUUCUGCGUCAGCAUGCUCAUUGUCAAGGCUGAAAUAAACCAAGGAGUGCUUGAAAGUGGGAAAAGGAAAGGGGAGCAGAGGCAGGCGAAAGCCAGGAGGCGAGAGGAGGGGUGUAGGGUGGCUGGUAGCAGGUCCAAAGCAUUUUUUCCGCGGCCAGCUCCUCGUCGCUCGGAAGUAGCCACGACGGCGGCGGCGCCCGGAGGCUGAGAGCCGGGAGCCGGAGAGCCGGGAAGCCGGGAAGGGAGCCGCGAGUCUCCAACCGCCACUGGUGUGCACAGGUCUUUCCGUGCCGGCGGUGGAGGUGUGAAGGCACGCAAGCACCGUGAGCUCCGGGCCGGCCGCGGCAGCCGCUCGAUUAUGGAAAUACGAUUUAAAAUAGCGCAUCAACGUCCGCAGCAACUCCCCGGGAAGGAAAAUAUGUCCAGGGAGGUGGCCUGGGAGAGAAGUAGGGGAAAGGGAGGGGAGUUCGCCUGCCCCGGCGCUGAUCAGGCCUCACAAAAGCCGCCCGAAUCGCCUUGUUAUCAUACCAAAAGGUCUGGGCAGGCUCAAAGGAGCCCCUUUCUCUGGGUUUUAGCAACUUCACCGGCAACUGUCUCGCAAUCUUGAGAACAAACACAGCUCCACAAUGGCCGGCGUUUUCUCGGAAUGCAAAUGUUGCAGGCUUCGCAAAGCUGGGUUUCUGCUACCGAGCCUAAUGCCGGCAUUGUGAAACUCGCGUGCAAACACCGAGAUUGACACGGGCGUCACGUGACGGAUUAGGGCUCUAGGAAAGUUUUCAAAGAGACGACAAUGGGGGCUGAUCUGAUAUCUCCCACAGUUUAGAGGGAAAGAAAAUCAGGAUAUAUUCUCAUAUGUAAUAGGAUUAUCUUGUCCAUUUCAAGUUCUAUACAGCAUGUAAUUUAUUUUUAAUUAGGAUUAUAUCUACCAGGAAAGGGAACUAGACUUCACUGGAAAGUGUAAUUCUAAGGAUGGAUGAAGAGAGGGGUUAUUUUUCAACCUUUUACUUUUUUUUUUUCCUUUAAAAAUAAGCCCAGGGCCCUGGUUUUUCCUCCUACAGACUCAACAUUGGGUAAACCCCUCAGGGAAGCUUGCAGCAAGUGUUCGGCCAAGCAAAGAACAGAGGAAGCUCUUCGGGGCAUCUAAUUCAUUUUUGUAGUGAAAACACAUUUUGCAAAAAUCUCAUCGAAUUCUGAAGCCUCUGGGUUUUCUGGGGUUGAUGCUCUAGAAAUGCAACCAAGCGGUUUUCUACACUCCAAAUGCUUACUCUUUAAGUUCUCUCUCUCUCUGUGUGGUUUUUGGGCCGUCAGUACUGGCAUGGUGACUUUUAAACUGUAUAGUAAACCACAAAGCAGCAUUCUCCAUAGCCCUGAUUCAAAUUCAGCAGUCAGACAAUGAGACAAUUUGGGGGUGAAGGUAACUGUUAUUUAAACAUUGAUUUUGGAUCGAUUCCAGUGCCAGAUGCUCACAAACCCUGGAUCAUUUCCAGAUCUUGGGCCACUCUUCAUUUUGUGUGUUCCGUGUGUCAGGACACUCUGAGAGACCUACUUUACCUGAUAAGAAGCAGAACACACUUGUUGACUGCAGGAUCUGGAGUCAUCCUGCUUGGAUUCAAAUCUGAUCAUUACACUGAUUGGCUGUGUGACCCAUGCAAAUUAUUUUCUCUCUGUGUGGUUUUUUUUGGUUUGUUUUUUUGUUUGGUUUUUGAGACGGAGUCUUGCUCUGUUGCCCAGGCUGGAGUGCCCUGGCGUGAUCUCCGCUCACGGCAAUCUCCGCCUUCUGGGCUCAAGCGAUUCUCAUGCCUCAGCCCCCUGAGUAACUGAAAUUACAGGCGUGCACCACCACACACACCCGGCUAAUUUUUGUGUUUUUUGGUAGAGACAGGGUUUCACCAUGUUGGCUAGGCUGGUCUCGAACUCGUGACCUCAAGUGAUCAUCGUGCCUCAGCCUCCCAAAGUGCUGGGAUUACAGGCGUGAGCCACCACGCCUGGCCUCUCUCUAUAUCUUACUUAGUUCCCUGAUCAGCAAAAUGGGUAUUUGCAAGGUUGUUUUGAAGACUGUGUAAGAUGAUAUAAUAUCAGGUGCUUAGGAACACAUGUUAGUUUUUAUUUCCCUUUAAAGCACAGGGAAGAAACAUCAAAG
ensembl:lncRNA